AUUGAACGCUGGCGGAAUGCUUUACACAUGCAAGUCGAGCGGCAGCACGGGGGCAACCCUGGUGGCGAGCGGCGAACGGGUGAGUAAUACAUCGGAACAUGCCCAGUCGUGGGGGAUAACACUUCGAAAGAAGUGCUAAUACCGCAUACGUCCUGAGGGAGAAAGCGGGGGAUCUUCGGACCUCGCGCGAUUGGAGUGGCCGAUGUCAGAUUAGCUAGUUGGUGGGGUAAAGGCCUACCAAGGCAACGAUCUGUAGCUGGUCUGAGAGGAUGAUCAGCCACACUGGGACUGAGACACGGCCCAGACUCCUACGGGAGGCAGCAGUGGGGAAUUUUGGACAAUGGGGGCAACCCUGAUCCAGCCAUUCCGCGUGAGUGAAGAAGGCCUUCGGGUUGUAAAGCUCUUUCGGCAGGAACGAAACGGCGAGCUCUAAUAAAGAGAGGUCAUGACGGUACCGUAAGAAUAAGCACCGGCUAACUACGUGCCAGCCGCCGCCGAAACAC
rnacentral:rRNA from 1 species